UACGUAGGUGGCGAGUGUUGUCCGGAAUUACUGGGCGUAAAGGGUGCGUAGGUGGAGAUUUAAGUCAGAUGUGAAACUCCCGGGCUUAACCUGGGAACUGCAUUUGAAACUGGAUUUCUAGAGUGCAGGAGAGGAAAGCGGAAUUCCUAGUGUAGCGGUGAAAUGCGUAGAUAUUAGGAAGAACACCAGUGGCGAAGGCGGCUUUCUGGACUGUAACUGACACUGAGGCACGAAAGCGUGGGGAGCAAACAGG
rnacentral:rRNA from 1 species